AUUACUAAAAUAAUGUGGCUCAAUCAUCCCCUAAAUUGGUUGUAGAUAUUAUUAAUCGGUGGCUGCAAAUAAUAUUUGACAUUGUCUAAAUACAAAAAUGAACAGCGUUGGCAAGGAAAGAGUAUUCAAUAUUCUAACAACCGGAUGAGAUUUAAAACUUUUCUUUACUUUCUUCAUAUCAUAUAAUGACAUUACAUCUAUUUAUCAAAAGAUAGGAAGCCAAAGAAAUGAAGACGGGAAGAAGAAAAUUAAACACCCUCUUGUUCACGAAAUCCAUCUUUUGAUCAGAUCCUUCUUCUUCAAUCGUUUCGAGAUUCGGUGCAUUCGAAGGCUUAUAAGGAAAUAUCAAAGGGGAUGGAGCAACCUCAGUCCAAUAUUGCAUGUAACUCGUUCGCUUUCUCAUGACCUGGAAUAAAAAAAAUCCUUUGAGGGGUUGGGUAGGGGUGGGGCGUUGAGAAUAAACAGCAG
rnacentral:lncRNA from 1 species